GGAACUAUGGCUCAGAGGUAGAGUAUCUGUUUUGCCUGCAUAAGGUCCUAGGUUUAAUCCCAGGCAUCACCA
rnacentral:tRNA from 1 species